rnacentral:rRNA from 1 species
CAGAGGUCUCAAGCGUUGUUCGGAUUCAUUGGGCGUAAAGGGUGCGUAGGUGGCGCUGUAAGUCGGGUGUGAAAUUUCGGAGCUUAACUCCGAAACUGCAUUCGAUACUGCGGUGCUUGAGGACUGGAGAGGAGACUGGAAUUCAUGGUGUAGCAGUGAAAUGCGUAGAGAUCAUGAGGAAGACCAGUGGCGAAGGCGGGUCUCUGGACAGUUCCUGACACUGAGGCACGAAGGCCAGGGGAGCAAACGGGAUUAGAUACCCCGGUAGUCCUGGCAGUAAACGGUGCACGUUUGGUGUGGGAGGAUUCGACCCCUUCCGCGCCGGAGCUAACGCGUUAAACGUGCCGCCUGGGGAGUACGGUCGCAAGAUU